ACAAGGAUUCCCCUAGUAACGGCGAGUGAAGAGGGAAGAGCUCAAAUUUUAAAUCUGGCGUCUUUGGCGUCCGAAUUGUAAUCUAGAGAAGUGUUUUCCGUGACGGACCGUGCACAAGUCUCCUGGAAUGGAGCGUCAUAGAGGGUGAGAAUCCCGUAUAUGGCACGGACUGCCGUUGCUCUGUGAUACACUCUCGACGAGUCGAGUUGUUUGGGAAUGCAGCUCUAAAUGGGUGGUAAAUGCCAUCUAAAGCUAAAUAUUGGCGAGAGACCGAUAGCGAACAAGUACCGUGAGGGAAAGAUGAAAAGCACUUUGGAAAGAGAGUGAAACAGUACGUGAAAUUGUUGAAAGGGAAACGCUUGAAGUCAGUCGCGCCGUUCGGGAUUCAGCCUUGCUUCUGCUCGGUUCACUUCCCGUUUGGUGGGUCAACAUCAGUUUUGGUCGGAGGAGAAAGGCUUGGGGAAGGUGGCAGCAUUCGUGCUGUGUUAUAGCCCCUCGUUGUAUACUUCGACUGGGACUGAGGACCGCAGCACGCCUUUGGCCGGGGUUCGCCCACGUACGUGCUUAGGAUGUUGGCAUAAUGGCUUUAAGCGACCCGUCUU
rnacentral:rRNA from 1 species